AGUGAACGCUGGCGGUAGGCCUAACACAUGCAAGUCGAACGGCAACACAGUAAGAGCUUGCUCUUACGGUUGGCGAGUGGCGGACGGGUGAGGAAUACAUCGGAAUCUACUUUUUCGUGGGGGAUAACGUAGGGAAACUUACGCUAAUACCGCAUACGACCUACGGGUGAAAGCAGGGGAUCUUCGGACCUUGCGCGAUUGAAUGAGCCGAUGUCGGAUUAGCUAGUUGGCGAGGUAAAGGCCCACCAAGGCGACGAUCCGUAGCUGAUCUGAGAGGAUGAUCAGCCACACUGGAACUGAGACACGGUCCAGACUCCUACGGGAGGCAGCAGUGGGGAAUAUUGGGCAAUGGGCGCAAGCCUGAUCCAGCAAUACCGCGUGAGUGAAGAAGGCCUUCGGGUUGUAAAGCCCUUUUGUUGGGAAAGAAAAGCAGCAGGUUAAUACCCCGCUGUUCUGACGGUACCCAAAGAAUAAGCACCGGCUAACUUCGUG
rnacentral:rRNA from 1 species